GCACCGGCUAACUCCGUGCCAGCAGCCGCGGUAAUACGGAGGGUGCAAGCGUUAAUCGGAAUUACUGGGCGUAAAGCGUGCGCAGGCGGUUGUGCAAGUCUGAUGUGAAAGCCCCGGGCUCAACCUGGGAACGGCAUUGGAGACUGCACGACUAGAGUGCGUCAGAGGGGGGUAGAAUUCCACGUGUAGCAGUGAAAUGCGUAGAGAUGUGGAGGAAUACCGAUGGCGAAGGCAGCCCCCUGGGAUGACACUGACGCUCAUGCACGAAAGCGUGGGGAGCAAAC
rnacentral:rRNA from 1 species